UGGGGAAUAUUGCACAAUGGGCGGAAGCCUGAUGCAGCGACGCCGCGUGGGGGAUGAAGGCCUUCGGGUUGUAAACUCCUUUCGACAGGGACGAAGCUUUUGUGACGGUACCUGUAUAAGAAGCACCGGCUAACUACGUGCCAGCAGCCGCGGUAAUACGUAGGGUGCGAGCGUUGUCCGGAAUUACUGGGCGUAAAGAGCUCGUAGGUGGUUUGUCGCGUCGUCUGUGAAAUUCCGGGGCUUAACUCCGGGCGUGCAGGCGAUACGGGCUGACUUGAGUGCUGUAAGGGAGACUGGAAUUCCUGGUGUAGCGGUGAAAUGCGCAGAUAUCAGGAGGAACACCGAUGGCGAAGGCAGGUCUCUGGGCAGUAACUGACGCUGAGGAGCGAAAGCAUGGGUAGCGAACAGG
rnacentral:rRNA from 1 species